rnacentral:rRNA from 1 species
AUUGAACGCUGGCGGCAUGCUUUACACAUGCAAGUCGAACGGUAACAGGCCGCAAGGUGCUGACGAGUGGUGAACGGGUGAGUAAUGCAUCGGAACGUGCCCAGUCGUGGGGGAUAACGCAGCGAAAGCUGCGCUAAUACCGCAUACGAUCUAUGGAUGAAAGCGGGGGACCGUAAGGCCUCGCGCGAUUGGAGCGGCCGAUGUCAGAUUAGGUAGUUGGUGGGGUAAAGGCUCACCAAGCCAACGAUCUGUAGCUGGUCUGAGAGGACGACCAGCCACACUGGGACUGAGACACGGCCCAGACUCCUACGGGAGGCAGCAGUGGGGAAUUUUGGACAAUGGGCGCAAGCCUGAUCCAGCAAUGCCGCGUGCAGGAAGAAGGCCUUCGGGUUGUAAACUGCUUUUGUACGGAACGAAAAGGCUCUGGUUAAUACCUGGGGCUCAUGACGGUACCGUAAGAAUAAGCACCGGCUAACUACGUGCCAGCCGCCGCGGUAA